AGGGUUUGAUCCUGGCUCAGGACGAACGCUGGCGGCGUGCUUAACACAUGCAAGUCGAACGGAAAGCCCCUUUCGGGGGGACUCGAGUGGCGAACGGGUGAGUAACACGUGGGUGAUCUGCCCUGCACUUUGGGAUAAGCCUGGGAAACUGGGUCUAAUACCGAAUAUGAUCACGGGCUUCAUGGUCUGUGGUGGAAAGCUUUUGCGGUGUGGGAUGGGCCCGCGGCCUAUCAGCUUGUUGGUGGGGUAAUGGCCUACCAAGGCGACGACGGGUAGCCGGCCUGAGAGGGUGUCCGGCCACACUGGGACUGAGACACGGCCCAGACUCCUACGGGAGGCAGCAGUGGGGAAUAUUGCACAAUGGGCGCAAGCCUGAUGCAGCGACGCCGCGUGAGGGAUGACGGCCUUCGGGUUGUAAACCUCUUUCAGCAUCGACGAAGCGCAAGUGACGGUAGAUGCAGAAGAAGCACCGGCCAACUACGUGCCAGCAGCCGCGGUAAUACGUAGGGUGCGAGCGUUGUCCGGAAUUACUGGGCGUAAAGAGCUCGUAGGUGGUUUGUCGCGUUGUCCGUGAAAACUCACAGCUUAACUGUGGGCGUGCGGGCGAUACGGGCAGACUGGAGUACUGCAGGGGAGACUGGAAUUCCUGGUGUAGCGGUGGAAUGCGCAGAUAUCAGGAGGAACACCGGUGGCGAAGGCGGGUCUCUGGGCAGUAACUGACGCUGGGGAGCGAAAGCGUGGGGAGCGAACAGGAUUAGAUACCCUGAUAGUCCACGCCGUAAACGGUGGGUACUAGGUGUGGGUUUCCUUCCUUGGGAUCCGUGCCGUAGCUAACGCAUUAAGUACCCCGCCUGGGGAGUACGGCCG
rnacentral:rRNA from 1 species